UUUUUUUUGUUUUUGUUUUUUUUUCUUUUUCUUUUUUUUUAUGAAGAUGAAGGUUAACCUUAUACAGGACUGCCCCAUAUGAAUUCCUAAAAGCAAAAAAAUUAAAAAAUAGGAGUUCCCAUUGUGGAGCAGCAGAAACGAACUCCACUAGUAUCCAUGAUGAUGAGGUUGGAUCCCUGGCCUCACUCAUGGGUUAGGGAUCCAGCAUUGCCAUGAGCUGUGGUGUAGGUCAAAGACGUGGCUCUGAUCCUGCGUUGCUGUGGCUGUGGUGUAGGCCGGCAGCUACAGCUCCAAUUCUCCCCCUCUAGCCUGGGAACCUCCAUAUGCCGAGGGUGCAACCCUAAAAAAAAAAAGCAGUAAAAUAAAAUAAAAUUUAAAAAAAAAGAAAAGAGAAAAAUUGACCACACAUAGUCAUCUUUUCACUUUCACAAAAGUUCUCUCUCUUUUGAUGGAUGUCAUUUUUCAAAAGAUGAAAAUUAAUGAAAUUAAUUUCAUAUUAAAAGAGCAUACUAAGAGGUGACUGAAAGAGCAUCUCUAAGAGAAAGUUGAUUCUGCGUAACUCCAACCCCAUUCUCUUCUUCAAAUCUUGACCUCUGCCCGGUCCCCUUACAUUAUACUUCAACUUCCCUCCUUUCUUUCACUCUGGAAAUAAGAGCAGACAGCUCUCUGAUGGUGAAAUCAAAAGGUGAACAGCAGCUCUGUUCCGCAGGUACACAAACUAAUGUACAACCUUUCAGGAGAUGCACGUGAAGGGAAAAAAAAUCUAGAUUUCUUAGAAGAUUUUGCAAGAAAUGCCAUUGGGAUGUAUAUAGUCUGGAUCUCUUUUGUUUUUGUUUGAGAGGGAGAAAUUCUAAACUAGAAGAUCAUUUUCGUAAAGGCUUUGGAGAAGCCCCAAUUUAAUAAUAGCAUUAGCUGAAGACUAUGUAUCAAUCAGACAUUAGCAACUGGCAUAAAACCCUACUGUCCACUUCUCUCGACUUUGCACUGACAACUUGGCAGCCCACUGUACCCUUAGGCCCAAAAGAGCUAUCACAUUCUUAAAUCUGUAUUUAAGAGAUGUGGACAGUGAUGUAGGCAAAAGGCUUGCUGCAGGAGGAAAGGUCAAUAAAUGCCCACAGGAGAAGAUAAAUAAAUGGCCUCAAACCUCUAACUCACUCAUAAUUCGAAAAAUUUAACCCACCCUAAACACCAUUUCUCGCCACAGAGAUGAGCAAGAAAGAGAGAAAGAAAGAGAGAAAAGGAGAGAGCUGACAUGCUUUGUGUUGGUGGGGCUGUGGGGAAACAGGCCACCUAGUAUCCUGCUGGGCAAAGAGUGAAAUGAGUCAACCUUUCCGGGGGUGGGGGUGGGGGUGGGG
rnacentral:lncRNA from 1 species